rnacentral:rRNA from 1 species
UACGUAGGGGGCAAGCGUUGUCCGGAUUUAUUGGGCGUAAAGAGCGUGUAGGCGGCCAUUCAGGUCAGCUGUGAAAACUCGAGGCUCAACCUCGAGACGUCGGUUGAAACCGUUUUGGCUAGAGUCCGGAAGAGGAGAGUGGAAUUCCCGGUGUAGCGGUGAAAUGCGCAGAUAUCGGGAAGAACACCCGUGGCGAAGGCGGCUCUCUGGGACGGUACUGACGCUGAGACGCGAAAGCGUGGGGAGCGAACGAGG